rnacentral:tRNA from 1 species
AAAAGAUAAGCUAAAAAAGCUCUUGAGUUCAUACCUCAUUUAUAAAGGUCUUAAUCCUUUUCUUUUUAA